rnacentral:rRNA from 1 species
UGUAAUCACGUUCUAACCUUUUGACCGUCAACUUAAAUGGCCGUAAGCAAGCUUUCGACACCCAAGUAACUUUCAGAGGUCAGACGGAUAGCCUAAAAGGUAUUCGUUGCAAUCCUCGGUCCUAAUCACCACAUUUACCAAAGGCUAUAACACUUCAACCGAAGUCGAAGCUACAUUCCUCCGAUCAUUUUAUGGCGAUCAAAACCGACGUUGACCUACCAUACGAAAAAGUACACCAAAGAAACAUACAUAUUGCAAACAAUGAAGAUCUCAUACGCCCACAAAUGCA